rnacentral:tRNA from 1 species
GUUUUAAUAGUUUAAUUAAAAACCUUGGUCUUGUAAAUCAAUAAUGAAAUUUAUUUUCUUAAAGCU